GCCUUCGUGGACCAUGGUGGUCGCCUCGAUUCCAUGUGGCUUUUCUCCACUGCGAUUUAACGAGGGGAAGGAGGUUCAAUUCCUCCCGAAGGCA